rnacentral:tRNA from 1 species
GCGGUCGUGGUGGAAUGGCAGACGCGCUAGGUUGAGGGCCUAGUGGGAGAAAUCCCGUGGAGGUUCAAGUCCUCUCGGCCGCAUCA